UACGUAGGGUGCAAGCGUUGUCCGGAAUUAUUGGGCGUAAAGAGCUCGUAGGCGGCUUGUCGCGUCGGCUGUGAAAACCUGGGGCUCAACCCCGGGCCUGCAGCCGAUACGGGCAAGCUAGAAUUCGGUAGGGGAGACUGGAAUUCCUGGUGUAGCGGUGAAAUGACGCAGAUAUCUGGAGGAACACCGGUGGCGAAGGCGGCAUCCUGGACCGACACUGACGCUGAUGAGCGAAAGCGUGGGGAGCGAACAGG
rnacentral:rRNA from 1 species